UGGGGAAUAUUGCACAAUGGGCGAAAGCCUGAUGCAGCAACGCCGCGUGAGUGAUGAAGGUCUUCGGAUUGUAAAGCUCUGUCUUUUGGGACGAUAAUGACGGUACCAAAGGAGGAAGCCACGGCUAACUACGUGCCAGCAGCCGCGGUAAUACGUAGGUGGCGAGCGUUGUCCGGAUUUACUGGGCGUAAAGGGUGCGUAGGCGGAUGUUUAAGUGAGAUGUGAAAUACCCGGGCUUAACUUGGGUGCUGCAUUUCAAACUGGAUAUCUAGAGUGCAGGAGAGGAGAAUG
rnacentral:rRNA from 1 species